GACGAACGCUGGCGGCGUGCCUAAUACAUGCAAGUUGAGCGCUGAAGGUUGGUACUUGUACCAACUGGAUGAGCAGCGAACGGGUGAGUAACGCGUGGGGAAUCUGCCUUUGAGCGGGGGACAACAUUUGGAAACAAAUGCUAAUACCGCAUAAAAACUUUAAACACAAGUUUUAAGUUUGAAAGAUGCAAUUGCAUCACUCAAAGAUGAUCCCGCGUUGUAUUAGCUAGUUGGUGAGGUAAAGGCUCACCAAGGCGAUGAUACAUAGCCGACCUGAGAGGGUGAUCGGCCACAUUGGGACUGAGACACGGCCCAAACUCCUACGGGAGGCAGCAGUAGGGAAUCUUCGGCAAUAGACGAAAGUCUGACCGAGCAACGCCGCGUGAGUGAAGAAGGUUUUCGGAUCGUAAAACUCUGUUGGUAGAGAAGAACGUUGGUGAGAGUGGAAAGCUCAUCAAGUGACGGUAACUACCCAGAAAGGGACGGCUAACUACGUG
rnacentral:rRNA from 1 species